rnacentral:tRNA from 1 species
CGGAGCGUAGCGCAGCCUGGUAGCGCAUCUGGUUUGGGACCAGAGGGUCGGAGGUUCAAAUCCUCUCGCUCCGACCA